GACGAACGCUGGCGGCGCGCUUAACACAUGCAAGUCGAACGGAAAGGCCUGCUUUCCCUUGUGGAUUGCGGGUACUCGAGUGGCGAACGGGUGAGUAACACGUGAGUGAUCUGCCCCCAACUUGGGUAUAAGCCUGGGAAACUGGGUCUAAUUCCCGAUAGGACUGCAGGGUGGUGCCUGUGGUGGAAAACGAUUUUUUAGUGGUUGGGGAUGAGCUCGCGGCCUAUCAGCUUGUUGGUGGGGUAAUGGCCUACCGAGGCGGCGACGGGUAGCCGGCCUGAGAGGGUGGACGGCCACAUUGGGACUGAGAUACGGCCCAGACUCCUACGGGAGGCAGCAGUGGGGAAUAUUGCACAAUGGGCGGAAGCCUGAUGCAGCGACGCCGCGUGGGGGAUGACGGCCUUCGGGUUGUAAACUCCUUUCGACCGCGAGGAAGCCACCUGGUUGGAAGGGUGGUGACGGUAGUGGUAGAAGAAGCACCGGCUAACUACGUG
rnacentral:rRNA from 1 species